AACGAACGCUGGCGGCAUGCCUAACACAUGCAAGUCGAACGAGACCUUCGGGUCUAGUGGCGCACGGGUGCGUAACGCGUGGGAACCUGCCCUUAGGUUCGGAAUAACUCCCCGAAAGGGGUGCUCAUACCGGAUAAUGUCUUCGGACCAAAGAUUUAUCGCCUUUGGAUGGGCCCGCGUUGGAUUAACUAGUUGGUAGGGUAAAAGCCUGCCAAGGCGACGAUCCAUAGCUGGUCUGAGAGGAUGAUCAGCCACACUGGGACUGAGACACGGCCCAGACUGCUACGGGAGGCAGCAGUGGGGAAUAUUGGACAAUGGGCGAAAGCCUGAUCCAGCAAUGCCGCGUGAGUGAUGAAGGCCUUAGGGUUGUAAAGCUCUUUUACCCGGGAUGAUAAUGACAGUACCGGGAGAAUAAGCUCCGGCUAACUCCGUG
rnacentral:rRNA from 1 species